UUUUUUAGAAAUGAAUUUAAUUCAUACAUCUUAUUUAAUUUCUGUUAUUUUUCUAUUUAUUUUUAUUUGAUGUUAAGAUUAAGGGGGAUUAGCUCUUUAUUUUAUUGUUAUAAUUGUUUAUUUAAUUUGGUUUUGUGGAUUUUAUAGUGAUUUUCAAUUUGAUUAUGUUAAAAUUUUACUUGUUCUUUUAUUUAUUUAUUUAAAUUUAAUUAAUUUAUUGGAAUGUUUAUUUUGCCUUAUAGUUAUAUAGUAAUUAUUGUGGAAUUAGUAAAUAUUGUUUUAUUAUAUUGUGAGUGUAUUGUGUUAAUUAUCCUUUAGGAAUUAGGCAAAUAUUUAUGUUCGCCUGUUUAACAAAAACAUCUUUUCUUGUUAGUUUUUGAAGUAUGGCCUGCCCACUGACAUUUGGUUGAAGGGCCGCGGUAUUUUGACCGUGCAAAGGUAGCAUAAUCAUUAGUUCUUUAAUUGUGAUCUGGUAUGAAUGGCUUGACGAGACAUUAGCUGUCUUGGGUUUAUGUUUUAUUGAACUUGGUCUCUGAGUUAAAAUUCUUAGAUGUUUUUAUGGGACGAGAAGACCCUAUAGAGUUUUACAUUUUUCUUAUUAUUUAUUAUUGUGUUUGAUUUCUAUUAUUUUAAUAUGAUAAGUGUUUUGUUGGGGUGAUGGGAGGAAUUUUAUUAACUCCUCUUUGGUUAGAAGGUUUAUUUAUUUAUAGCUUUGUUUUGAUCC
rnacentral:rRNA from 1 species